UCGGGAAUUUUGGGCAAUGGGCGAAAGCCUGACCCAGCAACGCCGCGUGAAGGAUGAAGCUUCUCGGAGUGUAAACUUCAUAAGAAUGGGACGAAUAAGUGGGGGAUAACACACCCCAUGAUGACGGUACCAUUUGUAAGCUCCGGCUAACUCCGUGCCAGCAGCCGCGGUAAUACGGGGGGAGCAAGCGUUGUUCGGAUUUACUGGGCGUAAAGGGCGCGUAGGCGGCGUGACAAGUCACUUGUGAAAUCUCCGGGCUUAACCCGGAGCGGCCAAGUGAUACUGUCGUGCUAGAGUGCGGAAGGGGCUACUGGAAUUCUCGGUGUAGCGGUGAAAUGCGUAGAUAUCGAGGGGAACACCUGCGGCGAAGGCGGGUAGCUGGGCCGACACUGACGCUGAGGCGCGAAAGCCAGGGGAGCGAAC
rnacentral:rRNA from 1 species